rnacentral:rRNA from 1 species
GACGAACGCUGGCGGCGUGCUUAACACAUGCAAGUCGAACGGAAAGGCCCUGCUUUUGUGGGGUGCUCGAGUGGCGAACGGGUGAGUAGCACGUGAGUAACCUGCCCUUGACUUUGGGAUAACUUCAGGAAACUGGGGCUAAUACCGGAUAGGAGCUCCUGCUGCAUGGUGGGGGUUGGAAAGUUUCGGCGGUUGGGGAUGGACUCGCGGCUUAUCAGCUUGUUGGUGGGGUAGUGGCUUACCAAGGCUUUGACGGGUAGCCGGCCUGAGAGGGUGACCGGCCACAUUGGGACUGAGAUACGGCCCAGACUCCUACGGGAGGUAGCAGUGGGGAAUAUUGCACAAUGGGCGGAAGCCUGAUGCAGCAACGCCGCGUGCGGGAUGACGGCCUUCGGGUUGUAAACCGCUUUCGCCUGUGACGAAGCGUGAGGGACGGUAAUGGGUAAAGAAGCACCGGCUAACUACGU